UACAGAGGUCUGCAAGCGUUUGUUCGGAUUCAUUGGGCGUAAAGGGGCGCGUAGGCUGCGGGGCAAGUCGGGUGUGAAAUCUCAGAGCUCAACUCUGAAACUGCACUUGAUACUGCUUGCUUGAGGACUGGAGAGGAGAUUGGAAUUACGGUGUAGCGGUGAAAUGCGUAGAUAUCAGGAGGAACACCGGUGGUGUAGACGGCUUUCUGGACCGUAACUGGAGCUGGAGACACGAAAGCGUGGGUAGCAAACAGG
rnacentral:rRNA from 1 species